CGCCGAUAACAGCAUUUGGGAACAACAACUUAAGGUAAACAUGAAAAUUGAAAACUAGAAAGCAGUUUUUUCUUAAGUUUUCUCUUAUCUGGCAGUAACAAUUUCUCACAGACGCACCCAGAAUCCAGAUCGUUGAGAAUCAAAUCGAUUCCGUACUACAGCGAUCUCCGGCUGAUAUACGGAGGAGCUGAACUCGACGCCGAGGAGAACGAAACCGCGGCAGCCAGUGAGGAAAGCGCCGCAGCGGAUGGAAAUACCGCGGCGGAGUCCGGCGGUGGCGGUGAAGAGAUUCCAAUUGUGUUAGUGGCG
rnacentral:lncRNA from 1 species